rnacentral:rRNA from 1 species
UACGUAGGGUGCGAGCGUUGUCCGGAAUUAUUGGGCGUAAAGAGCUCGUAGGCGGUGUGUCGCGUCGGCCGUGAAAACCUGGGGCUUAACUCUGGGCGUGCGGUCGAUACGGGCAUCACUGGAGUUCGGCAGGGGAGACUGGAAUUCCUGGUGUAGCGGUGAAAUGCGCAGAUAUCAGGAGGAACACCGGUGGCGAAGGCGGGUCUCUGGGCCGAUACUGACGCUGAGGAGCGAAAGCAUGGGUAGCGAACGGG